rnacentral:tRNA from 1 species
GGCCUCCAGGCUCAGCUGCCGGGAAAAAUAAGCCGAGCAAGCUUCUGAUUUGUAAGCUCAGUGGCGCUAACUCAUAAUCCUUUGGUUCCAGGUUCGAAUCCUGGUGGGCCCACCA